CUUGUGGUGAUGAGGCUAUAACAUGUAAGCAGAAAUCCGUAGUCGGGUUUCUUCAAUGAAAUUUACUUGUUACGCUUGGAUUCUGAGCUUU
rfam:Cajanus cajan chromosome 10, whole genome shotgun sequence.